UGCAACGCGAAGAACCUUACCUGGUACUUGACAUCCCGGAGACCCUUAGGAAACUAGGGAGUGCUUCCAUCUGGAAGAAUCUGGAGCAGGUGCUGCAUGGCUGUCGUCAGCUCGUGUCGUGAGAUGUUGGGUUAAGUCCCGCAACGAGCGCAACCCUUGCCUUUAGUUGCCAGCAGUUCGGCUGGGCACUCUAAAGGGACUGCCGGUGUUAAACCGGAGGAAGUGGGGAUGACGUCAAGUCCUCAUGGCCUUUAUGACCAGGGCCUACACACGUGCUACAAUGGUCGGUACAAAGGGUUGCCAAGCCGCGAGGUGGAGCUAAUCCCAUAAAACCGAUCGUAGUCCGGAUCGCAGUCUGCAACUCGACUGCGUGAAGUCGGAAUCGCUAGUAAUCGUGAAUCAGAAUGUCACGGUGAAUACGUUCCCGGGCCUU
rnacentral:rRNA from 1 species